rnacentral:rRNA from 1 species
CCUGCUCAAUGAACUUUUUAAUAGCCGCUUUAUUAAGUGCUAAGGUAGCAUAAUCAUUUGUCUUUUCAUUAAAGAAUAGUAUGAAAGGAUUCACGAGUUUAAACCUUUAUUCAGGUUUUAUAAUUAACCUUAUAUAAAAGUAAAAAAGCUUUUAUUAAUAGAAAAGACGAUAAGACCCUUUAGAACUUAACUAAAAGUUUAGCUGGGGUGGUUUUAUAAUAAUUCUAAUAUAAAUCCUUAAAAUAUUACUUAUUUUAAAAAGUUACCUAAGGGAUAACAGCAUAAUUUUAUUUAUAAGAUCUUAUUUAUAAUAAAGAUUAUGACCUCGAUGUUGAAUUACUAUACGAGUAAUAGAAAAUUAUUACAAAGUAAGUCUGUUCGACUUUUUAACAAGUACAU